GAAAUGCGAUAAGUAAUGUGAAUUGCAGAAUUCAGUGAAUCAUCGAAUCUUUGAACGCACCUUGCGCUCCUUGGUAUUCCUUGGAGCAUGCCUGUUUGAGUAUCAUGAAAUCUUCAAAGUAAAUCUUUUGUUAAUCAAUUGGUUUCUACUUUGGUAUUGGAGGUCUUUGCAGCUUCACACCUGCUCCUCUUUGUUCAUUAGCUGGAUCUCAGUGUUAUGCUUGGUUCCACUCGGCGUGAUAAGUUAUCUAUCGCUGAGGACACUGUAAAAGGUGGCCAAGGUAAAUGCAGAUGAACCGCUUCUAAUAGUCCAUUGACUUGGACAAUACUUUUAUGAUCUGAUCUCAAAUCAGGUAGGACUACCCGCUGAACUUAAGC
rnacentral:misc_RNA from 1 species